rnacentral:sRNA from 1 species
CAACCCCAUCCCUAUUUACAUAUGAGUUUUACUUGGUAAGCGAUGCAAAAGUACACUUUUUUCAGAUUAAAUGCUCAAGAGUUGAUAAAAUACGGAAGGUGGAAGGUCAAUCUCAACAGCACCAUCCAGUGGGAGAACCUCACGCGGUACGCCCCAGCCCCUCCCUCUACUGCAGUCGGCACCACUUAAUUACUAUUAGAAGUCGCUGUCAAUGCUGACUUCGCCGCAUUGACCUGGGUUUCGAAAUGUGGGACCCAGUUAUGGGUCGUUACAACCUUCAAUUGAACUCAACCGAUCCUCACCCUCACACACUGCUCCGCGGUGGCUUUCGUGAGCAGACAUCGUAUAAGAGUUAUUAGAUUGAACGUUAGAAUAGGGACCAAAAUGGAUAAAGAAAAGGGGCAACAAAUUGAGGCGCUGCUUGGUUGUUGCCAUGGUAAUUAUGGUUAAUACAAAAGAUCUACAUAGCAUAGGGUUCGGUUGGAUAAUCGUGCAGAAUGAUGAUCAUUCCGCGGCACAGGAUUAAAGAAGAGUACAACAGUGUUCGGCGUACGAUAAUUUAUAUUAAUGAAUGCCUCCCGAUUAAUUACAAGGAUUUAACUAUACAUAAUCAACAUGAUUUGUGAAAGGAGAACAAUAAUCAAACCGUAUAAGGAUAACAUUUGUAAAUCAUGCAUUUAACCUUACCAAUUUUACAAUAUGUAUUUACAUAAUUACUGAACGAAAUCACAUCGUUAAAUUUGUUGUAUGAUUCAUAACUAAGAGAAAACAUCACAAGAACAAAACAAAAUAAAUCCUUCUUAAGCUCA